UCUCCCCAGACACCGAGGAUGGGAUCACGGCACCCCGAACCCUCCUCCUGCUGCUCUUGGGGGCCCUGGCUGUGGCUCUGAGACCUGUGGGGCAACGCUCCGAGUGGGAGUGGGGAGCUGCAGGCGCUGUGGAUGGAGCAGGAGGGGCUGGAGUAUUGGGACUGGGAAACAGUGACCCUCAAGGCCAAUGCACAGACUCACCUAGGGAACCUCUGGGGACCCUGCUCCGCUACCACAACCCGAGUGAGGCCGGAUCUCACACCCUCCAGACGACCUAUGGCUGCAACCUGGGGCCUGAUGAGCACCUCCUCCAUGGGUAUUACCAACAUGCCUUUGAUGGCAAGGAUUACAUUGCCCUGAAUGAGUACCUGUGCUCUUGGACAGAGGCUGACAUGACUGCUCAAAUCACCCAGCUCAAGUUGGAGGCCGCGCAUGCAGAAGGGCUCAGGGCCUACCUGGAGGGCAUAUACCUGAAGUGGCUCCACAGACACCUGGCCAAGGGGAAGGAGACACUGCAGCAUGCGGACCCCCCAAAGACACAUGUGACCCAUCACCCUGUCUCUGACCAUGAGGCCACCCUGAGGUGCUGGGCCCUGGCUUCUACCCUGCGGAGAUCACACUGACCUGGCAGAGGGAUGGGAAGGACCAAACUCAGGACACCGAGCUUGUGGAGACCAGGCCAGCAGGGGAUGGAAACUUCCAGAAGUGGGCAGCUGUGGUGGUGCCUUCUGGAGAAGAGCAGAGAUACACGUGCCAUGUGCAGCAUAAGGGAUUGCCCGAGCCCCUCACCCUGAGGUGGGAGCCGUCUUCCCAGCCCACUGUCCCCAUCGUGGGCAUCAUUGCUGACCUGGUUGUCUUUGGAGCUAUGGCCAUUGGAGCUGUGGUCACUGCUGUGAUCUGGAGGAGGAAGAGCUCAGGUGGAAAAGGAGGGAGCUACUCUCAGGCUGCAUGCAGGGACAGUGCCCAGGGCUCUGAUGUGUCUCUCACGGCUUAUAAAGCCUGAGACAGCUGCCUCGUGUGGGUUUGAGAUGCAAGAUUUCUUCACGCCUCACCUUUCUGACUUCAAGAGCCUCUGGCAUCUCUUUCUGUGAAGGCAUCUGAAUGUGUCUGCGUUCCUGUUAGCAUAAUGUGAGGAGGUGGAGAGACAAAUCCCCCCAUGUCCACUGUGACCCCUGUCCCCACGCUGACCUGUAGUCCCUCCCCAGUCAUCUUUCCUAUUCCAGAGAGGUGGGGCUGAGCAUCUCCAUCUCUGUCUCAACUUCAUGGUGCACUGAGCUGCAACCUCUUACUUUCUUACUGAAAAUAAGAAUUUGAAUAUAAAUUUUUUUUUCUCAAAUA